rnacentral:rRNA from 1 species
GACGAACGCUGGCGGCGCGCCUAACACAUGCAAGUCGAACGAGCGAGCGAGAGCUUGCUUUCUCGAGCGAGUGGCGAACGGGUGAGUAACGCGUGAGGAACCUGCCUCAAAGAGGGGGACAACAGUUGGAAACGACUGCUAAUACCGCAUAAGCCCACGGCUCGGCAUCGAGCAGGGGGAAAAGGAGCAAUCCGCUUUGAGAUGGCCUCGCGUCCGAUUAGCUAGUUGGUGGGGUAACGGCCCACCAAGGCGACGAUCGGUAGCCGGACUGAGAGGUUGAACGGCCACAGUGGGACUGAGACACGGCCCAGACUCCUACGGGAGGCAGCAGUGGGGAAUAUUGCACAAUGGGGGAAACCCUGAUGCAGCGACGCCGCGUGGAGGAAGAAGGUCUUCGGAUUGUAAACUCCUGUUGUUGGGGAAGAUAAUGACGGUACCCAACAAGGAAGUGACGGCUAACUACGUG